AUGAGAUUUGACAGUUUAUAACGGACAUUUCCCCGCUUUGCUUGACACUUCUCCAUUGUGCUGCCAUAUGAAGAAGGACGUGUUUGCUUCCCCUUCCACCAUGAUUUUUAGUUUACUGAGACCUUCCCAACCCUGCAGAACUGAAGUUCAAGCUGCUAGAUGGACAGGUCAAAUGAAGAAACAGAUGCCUGACCACUACUAAGCUGUAACUGAUACUGCAGUUGAGAUACAAGAUGUGAAUCUAAAAGAAAUCACCUCGGAUGUCUAGCCCUGUCCUCAAAUAAUUUCAGCUCGGCUGUCUCAUGACUACAACCAUACAAGAAACCCCAACAGCCAACAUAUGGAAACAACCUAAAUGUCUGUCGACAGGUGAAUGAAUAAAGAAAAUGUGGUAUAUACAUACAGCAGAAUAUUGUUCAGUCUUAAAAAAGAAGGAAACCUUACAAUAUGCAGCAUCAUGAAUGAACAUGGAGGACAUUAUGCUAAAUGAAAUAAGCCAGUCACAGAAGGAACAGACACUGCCUGAUUCCAAUCGUAGGAGAUAACUAGUAUUGUCAAAUUUAUAAAAUUGACAAGAGAAUGGUAGUUGCUAGUGGGUGAGCAGAGGGGAAGAUGAGGAGUUAUUGUUGAAUGUGUAUAAAGUUUUAAUUAUGCAAGAUGAGUAAGUUCUAGCGAUCUAUUGUACAACCUUGUGCCUAUAGUUAACAAUGAUGUAUUGUGGAUGUAAAAAUUUGUUAAAGAGGAUACAUCUCAUAUUGUUUUCUUACCACAGUAAAAAAAAAAAGAAACAAAUAAACAAGAAUGUAUAUAGUACUGAAAACUGUAUGUCUGAUGAUUAAAAAUUAAGAAUAUCCUCAAUACCACAUAAUUUACACAAUAGAUACAAAAGGUGUUGGCAACAAAGCAUGUCUGUCAACUUGGCUUAAAUUUUAAUCAUAAUCUCUCAAAGUCUUGAGAGAAGGCUAUGUUUUGUUCGUGUCAUUGUUAUUGUUGUUGUUUGACUCUAAAGAAUAAAUGAGAUCUUGGUAAA